rnacentral:rRNA from 4 species
UUUAUGGAGAGUUUGAUCCUGGCUCAGGAUGAACGCUGGCGGCGUGCCUAAUACAUGCAAGUCGAGCGAACAGA